rnacentral:rRNA from 1 species
CCUACGGGGGUCAGCAGUGGGGAAUCAUGGUCAAUGGGCGAAAGCCUGAACCUGCGACGCCGCGUGAGUGAUGAAGGUCGUAAGAUCGUAAAACUCUUUUCAGGGAUCUUAAAGCCUGUCUGUCAACAACAGGCAGGUCUGACUCUCCCUGGAAGAAGCCCCAGCCAACUACGUGCCAGCAGCUGCGGUAAUACGUAGGGGGCGAGCGUUAUUCGGAAUUACUGGGUGUAAAGGGGAUGUAGGCGGCCCUUCAAGUCGCGUGUCAAAGUCCAGUGCUCAACGCUGGGUGUGCACGCGAUACUGACGGGCUGGAGUGCUGGAGAGGUGAGCGGAAUUCCCGGUGUAGUGGUAAAAUACGGAGAGAUCGGGAGGAACACCAGCGGCGCAGGCGGCUCACUAGACAGUUUCUGACGCUAAGAUACGAAAGCGUGGGGAGCAAACA